CAGCCGCCGCGGUAAUACGAAGGGGGCUAGCGUUGCUCGGAAUGACUGGGCGUAAAGGGCGCGUAGGCGGAUUGUUUAGUUAGGCGUGAAAUUCCUGGGCUUAACCUGGGGACUGCGCUUAAUACAGGCAGUCUAGAGUGAGGAAGAGGGUUGUGGAAUUCCCAGUGUAGAGGUGAAAUUCGUAGAUAUUGGGAAGAACACCAGUGGCGGAGGCGGCUCACUGGACCGACACUGACGCUGAGGCGCGAAAGCGUGGGGAGCAAACAGGAUUAGAUACCCCUGUAGUCCCUGUCUCUUAUAC
rnacentral:rRNA from 1 species